rnacentral:piRNA from 1 species
AGGCUGUAGAGAAGGGCUUGUGACUUUA